rnacentral:tRNA from 1 species
UGGAGAUGCUGGGUAUAGAUCCCAGUACCUCUCGCAUGCUAAGCGAGCGCUCUACCAUCUGAACUAUAUAUCCCC